GUCUUUCGUCCACUCUUCUCUCAGCGGGCGCUCCACGGCCCUGCUCUGGGCUCGCCUGAGUGCUGGGCUCUGCAGACGCAGGGAUGGGCCAGGCGAGCCCCUCACCACGGAGGUAGCAGGUCCAGAGGAAGCAGCAGAGGCUUCCUGGAGGAGGAUUUGUACCCCUAGGAGGACUAUGUCUUCCUCAUCUUUGUCUUCAGAGGAUAAAUACAAGGCCUGACACAUAACAAGCAUGAGAUUAAUUUACCCGAGGUCAACCACGGUCCAAAGAUAUUAAAUGGAAAAUUCCAGAAAUAAACAAUGUGUAAGUUUUCAGUUGCAUGCUAUUCUGAGUAGCAGGAUGAAAUCUCGUGCUGUCCGGCUUCGUCCCACCUGGGAUGUGAAUCAUCCCUUUGUCCAGUGGAUCCGCGCUAUAGACACUACUCUCCCAUCAGUCACUCAGCAGCUGCUUCAGUUCCCAGAUCAACUGUCGCAGGAUCGCAGUGCUUCUGUUCAAGUAAUCCUUAUUUUACUUCAUUAUGGGCUCCAAAGCACAAGAGGAGUGUUGCUGGUGAUUCCGAUAUGCCAAAGGAAAGCUGUAAAGUACUUCCUUUAAGUAGAAAGGUGAAAGUACUUGACUUAAUAAGAAAAUUUAAAAAACAAAAUUGUAUGCUGUGGUUGCUAAGAUCUACAGUAAGAAUGAUUCUAUUCAUGAAAUCGUGAAGAAGGAAAGAAAUUUGUGCUAGUUUUGCUGUUGCAACUCAAGCUGCAAAAGUUACAACACCUGUGUGUGAUGAGUGCUUAGUAAUGAUGGAAAAGCCAUUAAAUUUGUGGGUGCAAGACACGGACAGAAACGUUCUGAUUGACGGCAAUCAGGUUCCAUUGGGGGUAUUGGAACACAUCCCUGAGGAUAAUGGGGGACUACUGUAUUCUACCAACUUAUUCCUCUUGAAGAAUUCCCUUUCGGAUUUCUGACUGCUGAGUCCUGGACUGGUUGAUGGCAAGGCCAGCUGCCCUGGUUGUCACCUGGAGACUGUGCUGCACUUUUCUCCUGGGUCGAACCCCUCAAUUCCUAGAUCCCACGUCUUCCCCUUCUGGGUUCACUACCUUAUUUGGGGGAACAUAUACCCAUAGCUUUCUUUUUGUUUUAUUUUUUGUUUACCUAUUUAUUUAUCUUAUUUUAUUUUUUGAGACGGAGUCUCCCUCUGUUGCCCAGUCUGGAGUGCAGUGGUGUGACCUCGUCUCACUGCAGCCUCCACCCCCCAGGUUCAAGCAAUUCUCCUGCUUCAGCCUCCCAAGUAGCUGGGACUACAGGUACGUGCCACCAUGUCUGGCUAAUUUUUGUAUUUCUAGUAGAGAUGGGGUUUCUCCAUGUUGGCCAGGCUAGUCUCAAAUUCCUGACCUCAGGUGAUCCAACCGCCGAACUCCUUAAUUAUUCAAAUACUGGCCCUCCUGGAGCAGUUCUCUAUAUUUCUUAUAUCCUUUUUCCACCUAUUUUUCAUCCCAUUUUGCUCUUCAUUCUGGAAAUGUUCUUCAACUCUUCAACAGUUUUUUGUUGUUUUUCAAAAAUUUAUCUUAUCAUAUUUCCAAAAGCCUUUUGUUUGUUCUUUGACUAUUCCUUUUUUUAGAGUAUCUCGUUCUUUUCUCACGGAUGCAAUAUUUUCUCUUAUUUCUUUGAGGAUGUUAGUAAUGUUUUGUUGUUGUUUCUGUUGAAGUGUUUCUCACCAUGCCUAAUCUCUUCUUUGUCCAAGUUAAUUUUUUUUUCUGAUUGUUGAAAAGACAAGCCACAUACUGGGAGAAUAUAUUACAGCACAAAUAACGCACAAAGCAUUACUAUCCGGAAUACAUAAGUAAUUCUUACAAAUUGGUAAGAAGACAACUCAAUUAAAAAAGAGCAAAAGAUAUGAAUGAGCAUUUCACAGCAGAAAAAUAUGAAUGAAAAAUAAACCACAAGAAAAGAUUCUCAGCCUUAUAGAAAUCAGGAAAAUGUAAAUUAAGACCACAGGAAGAUUUUCCAUGGAAAAGAAGUCCCAUAGUGGCAAGUAUUGGAGAGGCAGGAAUCAACAGGGAUCCUUAUAUGCUCCUAAUGCAGUGUAAAUUGCUGCAACCACUUUAGAAUAUUGCGAUUUCAUUACUAAGUGUAAACCCUGGAGAUACACUUGCAUGCAAGCACCCAGAGACAGGUGCAAGGAUAUUCAUAGCAGUGCUGUUUAUUAUGGUAAAAACAUGGAAACCACCCUAAUGUCCUUAACAGUAAAAUUAAUUAAUUGUGGCAUCACCAUAUAAUGAAAUCCUAUACAGCAGUGGCAAUGAGUCUAACAUAGCUGUGGCUGGAUACAGAAGGAAUCAUAGAAUUAUAAUGCGGAGUGAGAAAAGCCUGUUGCAGAAGACUACAUACAACAGGAUUUGACACUUGUAAGGCUCCAAAACAAAGAAAAUUAAAUGAUAUUGUUUAGGUUUUCAUACAUAGGUGAUAAAAGUGUGUUUCUUUGUUUUUAAUGAGAAAAUUAGUCACAGAAUUUAAGAUCUUAGUUACUUCUAUAGGGAAGGCAGGGGAAUGGGACAAGGAGGAAGCCCACAGCAUUGGUCAUGCUCUCAUGUUGAAGUUGGGUUCAAAGGUGUUCAUUAUUAAAAUGCUUCAUAAUGAUGACCAUACAUUUGGUAUUUCUAGGACAAUCUUGGUUUACAUCUAUUGUCUCAACAUAAUUAUUCAGUGCAAGCCUUUCCUUUCUCAGAAAGGUCCUAAUGUAGAUAAUAAAUUAUUUUGGCCAACUUAUUUCUUAUAAAAUGCAACAUGCAUCUCUUUUGUAUGUAUCUAUUAUUCCAUAAUCUAUACAGGUGUUUUUGUUUUUUUGUUUUUGUUUUUGUUGUCAUUGUUGUUGUUUGUUUGUUUUUUUGAGACAAGCCUCUCUCUGUUGCCCAAGCUAGAGUAAAGUGGCACGAUCUGAGCUCACUGCAACCUCCGCCUCCGGGUUCAAGCGAUUCUUGUGCCUCAGCUUAUCAGGUAGCUGGGACUACAGGCACCCACCACCACAUCUGGCUAAAUUUUUGUAUAUUUAGUAGAGACAGGGUUUUGCCAUGUUGCCCAGGCUGAUCUCGAACUCCUGGCCUCAAGUGAUCUGCCCACCUCAGCCUCCCAAGGCUAGGAUUACGCUAAGAUUAUAGACAUAAAUCAGCGCACCUGGCCUCCAUAAUCGAUAUAGUUUUUAAUACUGGGGCCACAGCCUGGCCACAGUCUCAUGGGAUGUUUGUGGUUUGACCCUAACAACCUUGUGAACCAGCCUGGGUAACUGUCCUUGGGGCCUCAAUGAACCAAGCCCUGGAGCACCCAGUCCCCAGAUCCUUCUGGCCACUCUGACUCCCUGUGCCCUGGACCCCACACCUCACCUGUCCUGGGCCCCACUCUGUCCUCUCCUCCACUUCUCACUGCCUGUGGAGCCAUCUUCCAGGGGCCCUGAAACCUCACCCACAAUCCAGGUCCACCCAGGGCCCCUGUGCCAGGCCCCAUGCUGGGUGAUAUUGGGGAACCAUCUUGGGGGCAGCUGGAGAUGGAAACCGUGACAACCCAGUGGAUCAAGGCUAUGGCACAGACCAGGCUGUGACACUGCAGAGGAGAGGGCUUAGCCCAACCUGGGGCCCAGGGAAGGCUGCCUGGAGCUGUUUUGAAGUCUGACGGGAGUGAGCUGGGUAGGGAAAGUGGGGGGAAGAGUGCUCCGGGCAGACAGGACAAAGUGCAGACAGUAGGGUAAGGAGGCACGGUGGGGGACGCAGCUCACAUGUUGCUGUGAGCAGAGCACAGAGCACAGGGCAGUGCCUGGCAGAAGUGGGUCUGGAAAGGGUGCCUCCUGGAGCCAUGAAUGCCAAGCCCAGGGUCUUGGACUGUAUCCUGAAGGCAGCAAGGAGGCACUGAAGGCAUUAGAGCGAAGCAAGGAGAACUGUCAGGCCAGGUGAGUCAUAUCAAGUGAGGUGAGAGUGAAAUUGGGAGAGAGAAGCGGAAAGAGACAAGGCAGCAGAGACAUUUUAUUGUUCUGCUUCGUCCUGGAAACCCACUCCCUGACAGCCUCCUCCCCCUGUCCUGCACCCACCACCCCCACACCUAUCCAUACACACACUGCAGAGCCGGUAGGGGAGGAAUAGCUCUGUGGUCUUGUGUGCAGGUGCUGCUAUGGGACUUCCUGGGUUCACAUCCCAACCUUGCCACUUGUCCUACCUGUGUAACUUUGGGCAGUGGCUCAAUGUCUCCAUGUGUCCAGUUUCCCUGUAAAAUGAGGAUGAUGGAAGUACUUACCUCACUGAAGCUUAACUGAGUCACAGGGGCCUGGCACAUAGUAAGCUCUCAAUCACUGUGAGCCGUCAUGGUCACUGGGGUGACACCACCUGCUCUCCUCCAAAACAGAGGAGACUAUACCCAAGGAAGAAGAAACCAGAGAAAGGACAGGAAGGUUUGGUGGCAGCGACUAGUCUCGAGACGGCAGUCCCCAGAACAGGGCUGGAUGUGUCCCCACCAGUAGACAGGCCCAGAUGCAAGGCCUCUGAUGUGUCUGCCGCUGCAGCCUCCAUUCCUAGGGUGGUGACUCAAUAAAUAUGUGCUGAAUGAAUGAAUGAAUGAAUGAAAUGUCAUGACUUCCAGGUACCCCACUGAUGUGGUUUGACUGUGUCACCACCUAAAUCUCAUCUUGAAUUGUAGCUCCCACAAUCAGGUGUUGUGGGAGGGACGUGAAUCAUGGGGGUGGGUUUUUCCCAUGCUGUUCUCGUGAUAGUGACUAAGUCUCACAAGAUCUGAUGGUUUUAUAAAGGGCAGUUCCCCUACACACGCUUUCUUGCCUGCCACCAUGUAAGAUGUGCCUUUGCUCCUCCUUCAUCUUCCGCCAUGAUUGUGAGGCCUCCUCAGCCAUGUGGAAUUGUGAGUCCAUUAAACCUCUUUUUCUUUAUAAAUUAUCAAGUCUCAGGUAUGUAUUUAUAGCAGCAUAAGAACAGACUAAUACACCCACCUACAAAUAAAGCCCUGAGGUCUCUUCCCCGCCCUUGCUUGGGUGGGUGCAGUGAGUGGAAUGUGUAGUCCCUGAUGCACCAUCUCCGGC
rnacentral:lncRNA from 1 species